CACCGCUUGUCAAAUACGAUGGUAGUUCAGAAAAUGGUAUGCCCUUGAGGCUUGACAGAAAAGGCAGAAAUAGGAGAACAAAGAGUGCCUGCAUGCAAAAGGAAAUGAGAGCCAUUAAGGUGUUGGGAGGAACAAACCACACCCGAACGUGGUGAGCU